rnacentral:rRNA from 1 species
GAUGAACGCUAGCUACAGGCUUAACACAUGCAAGUCGAGGGGAAACGAUAGAGAAAGCUUGCUUUUUCUAGGCGUCGACCGGCGCACGGGUGAGUAACGCGUAUCCAACCUGCCCACCACUUGGGAUAACCUUGCGAAAGUAAGACUAAUACCCAAUGAUAUCUCAAGAAGACAUCUGAAUGAGAUUAAAGAUUUAUCGGUGAUGGAUGGGGAUGCGUGUGAUUAGCUUGUUGGCGGGGUAACGGCCCACCAAGGCGAUGAUCAGUAGGGGGUCUGAGAGGAAGGUCCCCCACAUUGGAACUGAGACACGGUCCAAACUCCUACGGGAGGCAGCAGUGAGGAAUAUUGGUCAAUGGGCGAGAGCCUGAACCAGCCAAGUAGCGUGCAGGAUGACGGCCCUAUGGGUUGUAAACUGCUUUUAUAAGGGAAUAAAGUGAGUCUCGUGAGACUUUUUGCAUGUACCUUAUGAAUAAGGACCGGCUAAUUCCGUGCCAGCCGCCGCAGUAA